rnacentral:pre_miRNA from 1 species
UCCGGGAGGUGGGGGGCCCUCAGCCGGGAUUGUGAGAGGGUGCAGGCCAGGCCUAGGGACCCCACCAGUGCACA